ensembl:lncRNA
UUUGACUUAUGCUGUGUCACUAUAAUGCUGCUGCCGGCAACUUGUGGCAAUAUAUUUAUACUCUAAACUAGAGAUGGACCGAUCCGAUAUUACGUAUCGGUCCGAAACUAGCGUAAAUCACUGGAUCGGAUAUUGGAGAGAAACAAAAAAAUGUAAUCCGAUCCAUUAAAUAUCAAAAAAGCACCUCACAAAACUUGCGACACAGCAUAACUCGGCUCAUAACCGUAGCACGUCGGACCAGUGAAAAGGGAAAAGGGGGCACAAAGACAUACUUUUCUUUCUUAUUCUCAUUUAAAAUGUCGAGCUUUUAAUAAAUAAUUAUCUGAAUCUUACACCCAAAGUUUUAAUCUGAUGUAAAAUGUAUAGAAGUCCAUUACUGUAUAUAGUAACUAUUAGGUCUAAUAUACCCUAGUAAGCUAUAGUACUUUUUCCUUUGGGAGGGAACCAUCUGUGCAGUCUGCAGUUCUGUUGAAGAAAGAUGUUGAAUCUAUUUAAUAUUUAUUGAAAAAUAAUUUAUUUCUGUGCUUUUUUUUUUUUUUUUUUUUUUUUUUUUUUUUUUACACACUGCAUCAAAUUACAGUUGAUUACGUCAAUUAAGCAUCAUGAGGUGGAGGGUGGGUGGUUCCCUAUUUUAUUUUUAUUUUUUUUGCUGGGAGUUUUAAAGCCCUAUUAGUUAGGUUGCUUACUCUUUAAAAUACCAGAAUAGGGAGGAUGGAGCAGGUUUAAGUUUAUUAGGUUGAUCAGUUUUGCUGAACUAUGAAAUAUUUUGGCUGCAGUGUAUUUUUUUUUUAAACAUACAGGUAUAAAAGAAUAGCUUUAGUGGGGGGUUUUAAACUUGAGUAUGAACUUAUACAAAAAGCAGCAAGAUAUUAAAAAAAACUGUUUUAUUGAUUAAAAAACACUAUAUUGGAUUCAUAUCGGUAUCGGCAGAUAUCCGAAUUUAUGAUAUCGGUAUCGGCAGAUAUCCGAAUUUAUGAUAUCGGUAUCGGCAGAUAUCCGAAUUUAUGAUAUCGGUAUCGGACAUAAAAAGUGGUAUCGUG